rnacentral:sRNA from 1 species
UGACUUCAAAGUUGGUUGGAAGAAGCUAAAGGAAGUGUUCAGCAUAGCUGGAACUGUGAAGCGGGCAGAUAUUAAAGAAGACAAAGAUGGCAAGAGCAGAGGAAUGGGCACUGUCACUUUUGAGCAAGCAAUUGAAGCAGUUCAAGCAAUUUCUAUGUUCAAUGGGCAGUUUUUAUUUGAUAGACCUAUGCAUGUGAAAAUGGAUGACAAGUCUGUUCCUCAUGAAGAGUACCGUUCACAUGAUGGUAAAACACCACAAUUACCACUUUCUCACAAUUUGGGAUUAGUUUGGAGUUAUGAAGAUAGUUUGGCGCUAUUGAUUAGGAAGACUGAGAAGAUAAGUGUUAUGUGCCAUUUUUUUUUUUCUCUUUGGUAACUUUUCCUGACUAAUCAGCAAUACAUUCUAAAAUGUUUGGUAAAUUUAUACACUUGAAGGAAAAAAUGUCCUCUGUAAUUUCACCAUCUGUGGGUAACCUCAUUAUAACAUUUUUGUGUAUUUUCUUCUAGCCUGCUAUGUAUAUUUUUUACACAGUUGGGAACAAAAAUAAUUUUGAAUUAUUUUUUGUUUAACAGAGUAUAAGCAUUUUUUCAUGUUGAAGAUUCUUUUCAAACAUUUUUAUUGGUAGUAUAAUAGUCUAUCAUAUAGAUGUUCCAUAACUAUUUCACUGUUCUGUAUUUUAGGUGUUUUAACUUUUAUUUUCUUUUGAGUAACCACAGAGUAACACAUGCCUUUUUGUUCACAAAUCUUUGUAAUGUUGUUGGGUACUUCCUUCAGACAGAUAUUCUGAGGUAGAUUUACAGUUCUCAUGGGUUAGUAUUAUCAAAUUAUUUUCCAAAAUGACUAUAACAGUGUAAUGUACUUAUUGUAUUAUGUGUCUCAGUGCCUCUGUGUCUCAGUGCCUCCUUUGAAAAGUGGGGAGAAUAAUAGUGUCUACUUCAUGGGGUUGACAUGAGUAUUACAUGAAUUAAUAUAAAGCACUUAGAAUCAUUUUGGCAUAAUGUAAACACUCAAUAAAUAUUAGC